rnacentral:rRNA from 1 species
AUUGAACGCUGGCGGCAGGCUUAACACAUGCAAGUCGAGCGAGCGGCGGACGGGUGAGUAAUGUCUGGGAAACUGCCUGAUGGAGGGGGAUAACUACUGGAAACGGUAGCUAAUACCGCAUACCAUCAGAUGUGCCCAGAUGGGAUUAGCUAGUAGGUGGGGUAAUGGCUCACCUAGGCGACGAUCCCUAGCUGGUCUGAGAGGAUGACCAGCAACACUGGAACGGAGGCACGGUCCAGGCUCCUACGGGAGGCAGCAGUGGGGAAGAGUGGACAAUGGGCGCAAGCUGGAUGCAGCCAUGCCGCGUGUGGGAAGAAGGCCUGCGGGGUGUAAAGCACUUUCAGCGAGGAGGCGUUACUCGCAGAAGAAGCACCGGCUAACUCCGUGCCAGCAGCCGCGGUAAUUC